rnacentral:rRNA from 1 species
GACAGAGGGUGCGAACGUUGUUCGGAAUUACUGGGCGUAAAGCGCGAGUAGGCGGCUUCUUAAGUCUGAUGUGAAAGCCCGGGGCUUAACCCCGGAAGUGCAUUGGAUACUGGGAAGCUAGAGGGUGUAAGAGGAGAGUGGAAUUCAUGGUGUAGGGGUGAAAUCCGUAGAUAUCAUGAGGAACAUCAGUGGCGAAGGCGGCUCUCUGGUACACUUCUGACGCUCAGACGCGAAAGCAUGGGGAGCAAACAGG